AUCAUUUCAUACAAAAAAUAAUGAUUGUAAUAGAAGGUUAUAGUCCUAGAAAUAUAAAUUGUAGUUGCAACUAAAUUAAUCUGAGAACAUCGAGUGUUGAUGCAAAGGGAGUCAAAACCUCGCCUAUCACAUCUUAAUUUCAUUUGUUUUAUUACUUCUCGACAAAAUGAUACAAGUAACUUUUGAAAGAACUAUACAAAUAUGAAAAUGUAGAUAUACCAUACUUUUAGCGGCAUUGAAAAGUAAUAAAUAAUUUUCCACGAUAAAGCAGUAAGCCCACUCUCUUCUUGAUUGGUACAAACUCUUGUUUACUGGCAUACUUUAUCUAUGAAGUAAAAUUUUGUUCAGUAAUCAACUCGUCCUUCAGUAUAAUAAUACUCUAGUCACAUUAAAAUUUACAUUUGCAUAACCAUCAAAUUGCUUUAAGAAAUUAUAUAGCAGAUAUGAUUCUACCUUAUAACAUUUCACUUUUAAUUUCAUGGAUUUUCUUUGGAUGUCAUCAAUGUCUAGUCUCAUUUUUAAAACUUCAUAUCAGUAAAAAAGACAAAGAAAAGAUCUCUUUCCAAUAUGAGUAAGUAUAUGACCUAAACAUAAGCUAAAUACUUGCAGCUCAUAAUAUAACUUUUGGAUAUCAAUAAUUUUAUAACCUGCUUACUUUUUACAACCAACAGAAGUUAAAUACAUGCAGCUCAUAAUAUAACUUUUGGAUUUCAAUAAUUUUAUAACCUGCUUACUUUUUACAACACAUGAAUAAAUUAUAUAUGACCUCAAGAGAUCUCUUCAUAUAUAAUUUUAGACUGGCUCUAUGCGAUUCCACCUGUACCAAAUUGCAAGAAGAGCGCAUUGAGCAAUCAUCUAAUUUCCCUUUCAAUCAAAAAUUUCUAUUCAGAUUCCAGUCAGUCAAUGAUGAUUAGAAUGAGUAAUUAUUGCUUUCUAUGUUCAUGUCCGAAGCCAUGUCUCACGUUCAAAGUCAUAUAGUACUUUUCUGCACUUAGGUAACCAUCAGAGUGUAGAUUCUGCUUUCUAUAGUAAAUAGUUGUAAGUAAAUUACUUACAUUUGCGACUUUGUUAUUGUUGCAGUGGCAAAGGCACAUAAAAUUUUUCAUUUCACUUAUCAAAAUCAGCAGUGGAUUUCAUGUGUCAGCAAAAGAAAAAUCACAUAACUAAAAUUUGAAACACAGAAUUCUUUCUAGCCAUCAGCAAACAACUAUAAAUUAAAAAGGAGAUAAAGUAACUCCUACUUAGUAAACACAAGAAUGCCACCUUCCCAAUCAUAUACAACAAGGUCAUUGAAAUACUAAUAUUUUAUAUGCAGAAGAAAAGUUCUUAACAGUCAAACAAAGAUGAAAUGUCAAAUCCAAAUAGAUGUAAAUAUUUACAUAAUAUCAACUGAAUAUAUAAGGCAAAACUUGUUAGAAAUAACUUUUAAAAAAAAGUAACACAUUACUUUACCUGUGCAUCCAAAAUAUUAAGGUGGCCAAAAACCUUCAUAACCAUCUUUUCCCUAGUUGUUAAUGAUCGAUCACCACCAUUACAAAAUGUUUUAAACCCUCAUUCUUGUCAAAAAGCACACAACAACAUAGCGAAUUAUUAUCCCGACUAUUAAGACUAAACUUUCAGGAUAUAAUAGGUACCAUCAUAAGUUGAAACAAAGAAUAUGAGUCAGGCAUAUUCAUUAAACACAAUAGGUGCAUAGCCGUAUUCAACAUUUUUUUUUCUUGUCACAUAAAAGUAAAGGUUGACACUUUUAUGUAAUUGAUUUCUAAUAAAUUGUCCUAUUUUUGUCAGACAUUGUUGUCGUUUCUUACUUUUCUUACUGUCUGAUUGUCCUCUGUUAUAUAAAUAGUUAAAAAUUAUUAAUGCGUCUAUUCCGUGAAUUCUGCCCUAUCGACUCUAAUAUUCAAGUUUGUUUUGAAACUUCAAAGUACUAUCUCCCAUUUCGGAAAGUUUCAAUUUUUUUUGUUCAGUAAAUUAGUGAGAAUA
rnacentral:lncRNA from 1 species